AGAGAGGCUAAGGAGAAUCAAUUGCAAUCUAAGGUAAAUGUAGCUGAGGUUGAUUCUCAAAAUAAGAAUCAAAACUUUAUGGGCCAUCAACCUAGACAUUUCAAAACCAUAAUUAUAAACCUAAGUUUAGAAAUUUUAAGUCCAAAGGUAAAGGCCCUAUAAGCAAUCUUAGAUCCAAUCAGUCAAAAGUGAAGAAAAAGAAAAAUGAUGGAAGGUUUUGUUAUGUUUGUGGCCAAUACAAUCAUCUAGCUACUGAGUGCUUUUAUAGGAAGA
rnacentral:lncRNA from 1 species